AUUGAACGCUGGCGGCAUGCUUUACACAUGCAAGUCGAACGGCAGCGCGGGCUUCGGCCUGGCGGCGAGUGGCGAACGGGUGAGUAAUGCAUCGGAACGUGCCCAGUAGUGGGGGAUAGCCCGGCGAAAGCCGGAUUAAUACCGCAUACGACCUGAGGGUGAAAGCGGGGGACCGAAAGGCCUCGCGCUAUUGGAGCGGCCGAUGUCGGAUUAGCUAGUUGGUGGGGUAAAGGCUUACCAAGGCGACGAUCCGUAGCUGGUCUGAGAGGACGACCAGCCACACUGGGACUGAGACACGGCCCAGACUCCUACGGGAGGCAGCAGCGGGGAAUUUUGGACAAUGGGGGCAACCCUGAUCCAGCCAUGCCGCGUGCGGGAAGAAGGCCUUCGGGUUGUAAACCGCUUUUGUUCGGGAAGAAAUCCUCUGGGCUAAUACCCCGGGGGGAUGACGGUACCGGAAGAAUAAGCACCGGCUAACUACGU
rnacentral:rRNA from 1 species